rnacentral:rRNA from 1 species
AGUGGGAAGGCUAUAACAGUCAGGAUGUUGGCUUAGAAGCAGCCAUCAUUUAAAGAAAGCGUAAUAGCUCACUGAUCGAGUCGUCCUGCGCGGAAGAUGUAACGGGGCUAAGCCAGUUACCGAAGCUGCGGAUUUGCAAUUUAUUGCAAGUGGUAGGAGAGCGUUCUGUAAGCCUGUGAAGGUGAGUUGAGAAGCUUGCUGGAGGUAUCAGAAGUGCGAAUGCUGACAUGAGUAGCGAUAAUGGGGGUGAAAAGCCCCCACGCCGUAAGCCCAAGGUUUCCUGUUCAACGUUCAUCGGAGCAGGGUGAGUCGGCCCCUAAGGCGAGGCAGAGAUGCGUAGCUGAUGGGAAACAGGUCAAUAUUCCUGUACCGAUGUGUAGUGCGAUGUGGGGACGGAGAAGGUUAGCUCAGCCAACUGUUGGACAUGUUGGUUCAAGCCUGUAGUCGUGCCUGGUAGGUAAAUCCGCCGGGCUUAGAUGAGGGGUGAUAACGAGUCUGCUUGCAGACGAAGUGAGUGAUACCCUGCUUCCAGGAAAAGCCACUAAGCUUCAGCUACACACGACCGUACCGCAAACCGACACUGGUGCGCGAGAUGAGUAUUCUAAGGCGCUUGAGAGAACUCGGGAGAAGGAACUCGGCAAAUUGACACCGUAACUUCGGAAGAAGGUGUGCCUUUAGUAGGUGAACCAUUUACUUGGGGAGCCCAAUGAGGUUGCAAAGAAUCGGUGGCUGCGACUGUUUAUUAAAAACACAGCACUCUGCAAAGACGAAAGUCGACGUAUAGGGUGUGACGCCUGCCCGGUGCUGGAAGAUUAAAUGAUGGGGUGCAAGCUCUUGAUUGAAGUCCCAGUAAACGGCGGCCGUAACUAUAACGGUCCUAAGGUAGCGAAAUUCCUUGUCGGGUAAGUUCCGACCUGCACGAAUGGCGUAACGAUGGCCACACUGUCUCCUCCUGAGACUCAGCGAAGUUGAAAUGUUUGUGAUGAUGCAAUCUCCCCGCGGAAAGACGGAAAGACCCCAUGAACCUUUACUGUAGCUUUGCAUUGGACUUUGAACCAAUCUGUGUAGGAUAGGUGGGAGGCGUUGAGGCCCGGCCGCUAGGUCGGGUGGAGCCAACCUUGAAAUACCACCCUGGUUUGUUUGAGGUUCUAACCUUGGUCCGUUGUCCGGAUUGGGGACAGUGCACGGUAGGCAGUUUGACUGGGGCGGUCUCCUCCUAAAGCGUAACGGAGGAGCCCAAAGGCAUCCUCAGCACGGUUGGCAUUCGUGCGUAGAGUGCAAAGGCAUAAGGAUGCUUGACUGCGAGACCUAUAAGUCGAGCA